rnacentral:pre_miRNA from 1 species
CAUCUACUUCCUCCGUUCCAAAAUUCUUGUCUUAGAUUUGUCUAGAUAAAGAUGUAUCUAAUACUAAAACAUGAUUUGAUACAUCUGUAUUUAAACAAAUUUAAGACAAAAAUUUUAGAACGGAGGGAGUGUAUA